GUGGGGAAUUUUGGACAAUGGGCGAAAGCCUGAUCCAGCCAUGCCGCGUGCAGGAUGAAGGCCUUCGGGUUGUAAACUGCUUUUGUACGGAACGAAAAGACUCUGGUUAAUACCUGGGGUCCAUGACGGUACCGUAAGAAUAAGCACCGGCUAACUACGUGCCAGCAGCCGCGGUAAUACGUAGGGUGCAAGCGUUAAUCGGAAUUACUGGGCGUAAAGCGUGCGCAGGCGGUUAUAUAAGACAGAUGUGAAAUCCCCGGGCUCAACCUGGGAACUGCAUUUGUGACUGUAUAGCUAGAGUACGGCAGAGGGGGAUGGAAUUCCGCGUGUAGCAGUGAAAUGCGUAGAUAUGCGGAGGAACACCGAUGGCGAAGGCAAUCCCCUGGGCCUGUACUGACGCUCAUACACGAAAGCGUGGGGAGCAAACAGGAUUAGAAACCCGUGUAGUCC
rnacentral:rRNA from 1 species